rfam:Medicago truncatula strain A17 chromosome 7, whole genome shotgun sequence.
UGAUCCAUUCAAUUUUUUUAAUCUAGGAAAAUACGGUGGAGAGGGUUUUUCUUUUUAUUGUUUGAGAUUGAUAUCUCUCGUCUUCUCUACCGGAUUUCCUUGAUUAAAGAAAUUUACUGGUUCA